GAUAAGAACGUAGCGAAAUGCGAUACGUAAUGUGAAUUGCAGAAUUCAGUGAAUCAUCGAGUCUUUGAACGCACAUUGCGCCCUCUGGUAUUCCGGAGGGCAUGCCUGUCCGAGCGUCAUUGCUGCCCUCAAGCACGGCUUGUGUGUUGGGCUCCGUCCCCCGAUCCCGGGGGACGGGCCCGAAAGGCAGCGGCGGCACCGCGUCCGGUCCUCGAGCGUAUGGGGCUUUGUCACCCGCUCUGUAGGCCCGGCCGGCGCUUGCCGAUCAACCAAAUUUUUAUCCAGGUUGACCUCGGAUCAGGUAGGGAUACCCGCUGAACUUAAGCAUAUCAAUAAGCGGAGGA
rnacentral:misc_RNA from 1 species